rnacentral:lncRNA from 1 species
AGUUCAUCGAUCAUAAAAAAGGAACAAUAAUAAAGGCAAAAAUUAUCUCUCUUUUUUUUUUAAAAGGCAAAGAUAACCAUUAACCAACCAGCAAGUAGCUGGCACCGAAUACCAGCAACAAAAUAACAUCAUGAGCAUGGUUUUACAAACCUUCUAGACAUAAACCUAAGUUUGAGACUUGCCCAAUACAAUCCCUGAACUAAAAUUCAUCCUGUCUUCCCAUUGUGUACUUUAGCAGCCCUCUGUACAAAAGAACGACUAUAACCGAGCCGAUAUAUCUUGAAUCAACAGCAACUCACGUUUUUUUACCUUUUACCCUUAGUCUUAUACAAAUCCGUGUUCGAUAUGCCCAGACCGCUUAUGUGUGUUUCUUGCGCUACUGUCGAUGAUGCUCCUUGUUUAGGCCUCUUACCACCUAGUUUUCAGCAGCUGCUUAUGUUUCUUGCGCUACUGUCUAGUGAUGAUCCUUGAAAGAAAGGCAACCAAGAACAUCAUGCUUAGUACCCUCCCUUUCCUCAUAAUGCCUUUCUUUCAUAUGUGAUUUGAACAUCAUGCUGAAUACCCUCCCUUUCCUCAUUUCAGCUGCUUUUUAUUAUGCCCACUUACCAUAUUCCUCGUUUCAGUAGCUUUUAAGGAGACCCACUUGCAUAUUCUUCAUUUUAUGACUCCAUUCUCAAUGUUUCCAUUAUAUGUGAAUUGUCAACAUAAUAGCCCUAUUAGGAAAGUGUCCCUCCCUUUCAGCCAUCAUGUUUCACCAAUACGCACCCACACACCAGAUUUAUUACCCCCACUCAUGUUUCCUAUCUUUGGAAAGACCAUUCCAAAUUGUACCUAAAAAUUUGAUAUUACCAUACCUAAAGGUGCAUGUGUCACACCCUCAAAAUACCACCUAGGGAGUGCCC